GACGAACGCUGGCGGCGUGCUUAACACAUGCAAGUCGAACGCUGAAGCUCAGCUUUUGUUGGGUGGAUGAGUGGCGAACGGGUGAGUAACACGUGAGUAACCUGCCCCCUUCUUUGGGAUAACGCCCGGAAACGGGUGCUAAUACUGGAUAUUCACUGGUCUUCGCAUGGGGGUUGGUGGAAAGGGUUUUUCUGGUGGGGGAUGGGCUCGCGGCCUAUCAGCUUGUUGGUGGGGUGAUGGCCUACCAAGGCUUUGACGGGUAGCCGGCCUGAGAGGGUGACCGGUCACGUUGGGACGGAGAUACGGCCCAGACUCCGACGGGGGGCAGAAGUGGGGAAUAUGGCACAAUGGGCGCAAGCAUGAUGCAGCGACGCCGCGUGAGGGAUGGAGGCCUUCGGGUUGUGAACCUCUUUCGCUCAUGGUCAAGCCGCAACAAUGGUUGUGGUGAGGGUAGUGGGUAAAGAAGCGCCGGCUAACUACGUG
rnacentral:rRNA from 1 species